CAAGUGUACAUCUUACCAUUAUAUAAUUAAAUAUGAUACAUGGUAUUGGCAGAGCACAUCUAGUGCACAUCAAUAUAGCAUAUUUGCUAUAUCUACAUUUUACUUCUUCAAUUCCACAUUAAAUUUGUUGCUACUUACCUUGCCAUGGCUACCCAUGAUUAUUAUGAACUUGUGAUCAGUAUAUAUCUCCCAUGCACCAAAACCUGACACCCUAAGGCGCAACUUCUUAUUCUUAACAACUGCACCAGCAUGCUAGUUAAAGCAUUUUCAAUUAAACAUCUUUUGAAAGUGGCAUGACCUAGCUAGUGUAGAACUUCACUACCACUUGAAACAUCAUGAGUGUUACGGGUAUACACAUGCUAGCAUACUACUGGUACCACGCAUCUACAUGCAUGGUCAAAUAUGGCUAUUAUUUGCUAGCUCGGGUACAUGCCAUGCAUGUAUGUGUUACAUUUAGUCCUCACCACAUGGGAGCUGCAUUGCUCACCACGUACUCUUCAAGUAUAGUGUACAUAUUUCUUUCCUGCUAGUAUGCAGACACUUAUCAUAGAGGUCUAUAUCUCAUUCAUUUUAAGGUAACCACCAUCAUGUGUUGCACACAAAUUUAAUUGUUUUCACAUGUUCUUUUGGGCGAGGGAAUUGAUAUAUUCAUUCUAACGUGCAUACUAUUCACACCACUCUGACCGAAUUCAUAAUUUGCCUAUCACAUAAUAACUUAAUUUGUGCCUAUUCCAUGCUACUUAUGUUCCAAGCAACAGACACAAGAACUUCAUGAGGCCUUUGUUGGAGCUGUCAACCAGCUAAAAUAAUUGUCUUCUUUAUUUCUUUUGUUUCUGUUUUCGCAUGUUUUUGUGCUCUGUUUUCUUUUAAUUAACUAGAAUAGGCAAUGAUCUCCACAAUCCCUAAAAAUUUACCAGUAUCCAGUUUAGUGUGUUAGCUUAGUGUCUAUAAAAUUUCAUUGAAAUCGGAGUAGUUUAAGUUAGGUUUUUAGUCUUAAUUUUGGUUUCUGGUCAUAGUGUUAUUUAAUCUGUUAUUUAAUAGAAGAUUUGUUGAUGGAUAAAUUGUAGCUUCACUAUGCAAGCGAAAACUCGAGCAUUUCUUUAGAACAGAUUAUUUACCAUAAUGCAAUUUUUACUCCUUUGGUUUCAGGGGCAAUGACGGCUUUGCUUCGAAAUCUUGAUCAUUGCCUCUCAAGCUAUUCAUCUGUUAUAUGAAAAUCCGAGAUAGAGGAUGCAGAGGAAUGCUUCAAACUAUUUUCUUUGGAAGAGGCGGCUAAAUUUGACGAAGUGACCCUUGCCAAUGUGAACAACUUCAAAAAGCGCUCAAAAAGCCAGUCACCUAAUGCAAUCCACAAAGAAUAUAUAGUGGUUACAAUUCUGGUGGCUACUGAUGGAGAACAGAAGUUGCCCACCAUCAGUGGCACUCGUGACUUGAAGAAAGCAUUACAUAAACUUGGAGCCAUUUCCUCGAACAAAAUAAUGAUGAUUUCUUCCAAGGAAGCAAGCUGCUUGUCAUAGAGGAAAAGCAAGCCCUGCAAGCUGACUGCUUCCCAUAUAUGGAACAAUUGUUAUAUUUAUACAAGUCCAAAUGUUGUUCAUCGUAGUUUCAUUGUCUUUUUUUUUUUCGAUGCUAUUGCAUCACCCCAUGUACUAUUUACUUUCAUUUAAUAAAGUUUGACGUUCU